CCUCUCCCUGCAAGCCGCUGUAAAUCACGCAGCUGCUGUGUGGUACCUGUCAGAUCCAGGGCUGUGUGAUCCUGGACUUGUUCCAUGAGGGCAGCCAUAUACGUGCUGGAGCACACGGCCCUCUCCCCGCCUCACCAGGCAUCCCAGCAGAUGUGCCAAGGUCGGUCCCCGCUCCGAGGAUUCUUCUCAACACAGUCAACCUUGUGUUUUGGGUCAGGGUACAGAGGAGACCCCGACCCUCCCAGAGCUCGCAGCCCAGGGGGCAGCACUCUGCCUGCUUGUCUGAGAAACUCCCGGAGGGCAUCUCGGAGGAGGUGAUGUUUGCGCUGAGGUUUGAAGGAUGAACAAAUGGGGCAUUCAGGAUCUUAGUUCCCUGACCAGGGAUCGAACCUGUGCCCCCCGCAGUGGAAGCGUGGAGUCCUAACCACAGGACCACUGGGGCAUUCCGUGAAUUAUCCCUUUUUGAAAGAAGAGGAGAUUACGACACAGACACACAGAGGGAAGACCACGUGAGGAUACAGGAAGAAGACAACCAUCUACAAGCCAAGGAGAGAGGCUUCAGAAGGAACCAACCCUGCCAACACCUUGAUCUUGGACAACUAGCCUCCAAAACAAGGGAGAUUUUAGACACCAACAGAAGAAAAGGACACAGAUGAAAGAGGAGAAGCAAUGUGACCAUGGAGGCAGACAUUGGAGGGAUGCGGCUGAAACCAAGGAAUGCCAGUAGCCACGAGAAGCUGGAAGAGGCAAGGAGCAGAUUCUCCUCUGGAGCCCCUACAGGAAGGGCAGCCCUGCUGACACCUUGGAGACUGAACUCAAUGAAGGUAGCCACCUUCCUGUCUCUUUCCCUGCCUUGUUCCCAUUGUACAGCCCUUGGUGAACAGUCAGGGCUCAAUGAAUACUUACCGACUGAAGGAUGAAUGGGGUUGGUGGUGUUGGAUUUCCAUCUCACAAUGCUGAUCUCCUGGGACUCACUCAUAUAGGAAGGUGGAGGGUGCUGCCUGCACGGGGGUCAAGAACAGCUAGGAUCCCAGAGACGCUGGAUGAGAUGGGUCUGCUCAGCUCCCCACGCAAAGCUCCACGGGCACGGCUGUGAUGGUCAACUGCUAUCUCCUCAUGCACCUGAAAGCCCCGCCCACCUUUGGGCCAGGUGAGCUGUGGGGGAGGGGGGAAAGCCCUAGCAGAGGCCAUCCCUGCAAGACCCCAAGACCCUCCGGCAAUGACUCCAGAUUCACCUCUGCUACCGCAGCUUGGCUUCUCCUAUCUGGAAACUCUGGGCCUGUUCUGCUCCCCACACCCUGUCAGGAGCACCCCAGUAAGCCUUGUGGGAUUUGUCGUGGGUCGCUGGAGGUGAGCGUUCCCUCUUCAAUCCACAGCAGAGAUGCCCAACCCUGUGACAUCCAUUGACCUCAUUUUCCCAUUCAUUCACGCGUGGAUACGUUCAUUCAACAAAUAUUUAUUGCAUUUCUAUCGUGGGCUAGGCAUGGAGCUGGACUCUGAGGAUACAACUGAAAAUAAAUCUGUCACAGCCUCCACUCUCACGGAACCCACAUUCCAGAGGGCAAGCAUAAAGAGAGUCAAACAAGGAGAAAAAAUAAUUGCACAUCUUGAAAGGUGUAUGGAGGGAAAGAACAUGGGUAUUUCAGCGAUUUUGGGGCUGACUCAACAGCUUGCGAGAGACGACUGUUAAAAAGUUGAGAGUUUUGUGAGCUGGUUGUUUAACACAGCCAUUAUGAAAAAUUAAGUAAGUGUACAAUGACAUAACUUAUAUGGAAAUAAGAAUUAAAAAUUGAAGGCAUCAAUUAUAUGGGGUGCUGUGAGCAGAGAACUGGAAGAUUGGGAAUGGGUUGGAGAAGCCACUUGUGUCUACUUGGCUUCCUCUACCCAUGCCUGGGCCCUCGGUUUCUCCUUCAGGACCCCCAUCCCAGGUCCUGGAAUUAGUCCUGAUUAGGGCCAGGCUGGUCCCUAGGCUGAGGCCCGAGUGUAACCAGGAGGUAAGUCAAACCCAGUGUCCUGCUGUGGGGACACUCCAGAGGCCCCUGUGGUGACCUGGGCUUGGGCUCCUGUUGCGGAUCAUUCUAGGCUGGCCUCUCACCUCUGACCUUGUCUCUUCCCAAGGGCAUCCUCAUCCCAUCCUCCCACCUGGUUCUAAAAAGUCUGCGGCCUGGAUCUGACGGUUUGACGAGCUCUCUGAGAGUCCCCACGUGGUAGCAUGACUGGUCCCCGGCACUGACCACGUGCCUGAAUUAAGCUGGGCCAUGUGGAUGUACACUCUGCCGGGGACUUACGCUCCACCAUGGGGGAGCUGGUCCUGCCCUAUUGGCCCAGCCUGGGUCAAAUAGAAAACCCAGCAUCACGUCUUCCUCAGUUUCCCCAGUUCAGCAAGGGUUAUUAGCAGUAUCUCACCCACUUAGCAAGGCAGGCAUCAGGAAACGCUUCUCAAGUGAGAGGGUCUGGGACUGAGCCUUCACAGGGCACAGUCGUUGUAGGCGUCUUGUGUGCUCAGAGAAGCCUCCAUACACCCCUGUUUGAAUCCUUCCCUGCAUGGCCCCCCAAAAGGCCACUUCCUUCUCCUAACGCACGUCCACUUUGCACGUCCCAGCCCCGGCCUUCCCUCAGGACACAGGUCGGCCAAGGCAGUAGACCCCACUCCUUCUAGGACAUUCUUCCCUGGCUCCAUAACUGGGAAACCAGCCCAUGCUCCCUCUGCCCUGGGGACCUGGCUUCCCUCCCCACCAUCUACCCCUCCUGCUCUUCCCUUCUGAAGCUCUCCAGAACAUUCUGACUCAUCCUCUGACUCAGAUGGUCUCUCUCUGUUCCCACGUUCUGCUCCCUGACAGGCUGGAGAUCACAGCUCUCACCCCUGGUUCAGUGUUGGGGAGGGAACAGCUGGAUUCCUGUAUGUGCUUGUGUGUGCGCGUGUGUGUGUGGUGGGAGCACACACCUCCCCACCCCAGGGAACUAGGGAGAUGGUUUUCCUAUUCCUUCCCCUCCUUAUAGCCCCUGACUCCUCAAGAGCCGACAAGCAUCCUCCAAGACCCCAGGAGGGGUGAGUGCUGGGGUAGCCGCAAAGAGCCUCAGCCCGAGCUUCACAAGAUGAUUGUAUUGUUGAAGGUGCUUUUUAGCGAAGAAAGUCCCAGUUGAUGACCCCUUCCACCAAACCCCGAAUCCCGGAACAUCCACGUAACAGAACUGGCAGGAACCUAGGGGCAGAUACUUUGAGCUUGAGAGAGACCAAGAUUGAUGAAGAACCACAUUCAAAAUUACCCAGCAAGCAGGUGGCCAAGCCGGAUUGGGAUGGUAAUGAAUUCGUGCCCUCAGUUGAUGUCAGAUAUUCCCUGUCUUCUCUCCCUUCCAUCCCCACCCCCACCAGGACCCCUCGUCCCUCUGCUUCUGCUAAGCCUGUGCUGUGCAGUACAGUGGCCAGCAGCUACAUGUGACUGCUGAGCGCUAGAAAUGUGACUGGUUCGAAUUAAAAGGUGCUUUAAGUGUAAAAUGCACACCGGAUUUCAAAGCUCUAGUAUAAAAAAUAUUCUAUUGAUUAGUAUAAAAAAUGAGAAAUAGCUCAUUCAUAUUUUUUUAUAUUGAUUGCAUGUGGAAAUGGUAAUAUUUUGAUAGUUUGGAUUAAAAAAAACAUAUUAAAAUGAAUCCCACCCAUUUCUUUUCACUUUUCAAAAUGUGUAGAAAAUGUUAAAUUACGUAUGUAAUUUAAAUAAGUAAUGGCUCAUGUUUGUGGCUUGAAUUAUAUUUCUGUUGGGGUUGACCAACCCUGGGGCCAAAUCUGGCCCCCUGCUUAUUUUUAUAAAUAAAGUUUUAUUGAAA